rnacentral:lncRNA from 1 species
AACCAUCCAACACUGGUAUGGGGUUUAAUAGGGUGGUGGGGUACAGUUGGGAAUGCAUUUGGUGUGCCUACCUCAUCACCCGGACUUGGGUCGAACAUGAACCUCAUACAGGCACUUUCAAACACUCGUUCAGAUGGGUUUGGAGAACUUUACAGACAAGGCACGGCUGCACUUCUCAACUCAAUGGCUCAUAGUACAAGCUUCCCUUACACAACCACCCAGGUCAGAGAUAGCUUCAUUGCAUCACUUGGCUCCAACAGAGCUGCUUCGGCUCAGGCUCGACUAUUCAAGCUGGCUAAUGAGGGUAGACACUGAAACCAACCUCCAACCUAUCAAAACAAGAUUAAAUAUUACUAUAUUAUUAUGAUGAAGAUUAGUACUAUUGUUGUGUGUCAUAAUCAGUUUGGUUUACUAUAUUGUUGUGUGUUUAAUUUCUUUCACUUGCAUUGUAUGGGGGUUCUUUCUCUUUAGGUUGAUAUUUAUUAUAUGUUUUAUUCCACUGUAAUAUUAGUUAUUUUUGUUUUAUGUUGCACAUUUUUAUGCCACCCUGUCAUUUUUAGCCGUGCAAAGACUUCUUUGCCUGUCUUCAUCUAUGUUCGCCGGAAUAUUUUGCUAGUGCUAAUAACAAUAAGUUCGUGUUAAACCGUAUAUAAAUACUAAAAGUUGAGAAUGAAUGACAUAAAUAGAGAUCUCUUUUAGAUCUAGUAUGUUUAUAAAAUUGAAUCUCAUUACCAAACCUGAAAAUAACCUCAGUAGAUGUACUGUACUAGUUGCCAAAUUUUUCAACAGGGUCUUUGUAAUUUCGAAACAUAGAAGAUCUUUUUUCGAUUUAUAAAUGCUCCGAAUAACUUUAUAUAAAAUGUAUUCAAUACUUAUUCCCAAUUUUUGUUACACGUCCAUCUUCUUCCUCAAAAUCAACCACUUGAAUUUUUCCAUAUAAAAUCCAUUCCCAAAUACUCCAAACUAUAAGAAUAAUAAAAACAAAACAAAAGACAACUUCCAAUGAUGUACAUUUGACAAACAUUUUUCUCAUUUAAUCGAUUAACAGAAGAAAAAAAAACAUUUCACCAAAAUCAUAUAUGUCGGUACAAUUCUCAAGUCACAGACUAACAACGAAGCACAUUCAAUAAUCAAUAAACAAGAGAAAACACAGUGUUCGACCGGUGUGGGCUCCACAUUCAGAAAGGAAUACGACCGCCCCAGACAACUCUGAGAGUUUGACUAUUUGCUUCUAUGGGAGAAACCUUACUAGAUUAAUCCAUUAUUGUAAUAAUACUAUGAUUCAAUUCUAAUGCUCUAUGCUUAUCUGAAAUACAAAAUAUGCUACUAAGCUUUAAUAUUAAUGAAUGCAUCCUAACAAUUUCAUUUACAAAAUCUUGACCAAUGGUUAGACAUCCUCAGCAAGGUCUAGACAACUAACACCUUUUUUAUAUGUAGUAAAGUCUAAAGAUGAUUUUUUCGUCAAAACUCUGAAAUCCUUGCCAAUUUGAAAAUUAGGUUGGUUAGACAUUAAGUAACAUAGUUUCAAGAAAUUACCUUUCUAGCCUCG